GCAAAAAAAGGGAGCCCCCGUACGUAGGGGGCGAGCGAGGCGGGAAGGAGCUCAAAUUUAUAAUCGGGCACCUUCGGUGUGCGAGUUGUAAUCUCUAGAAGUGUUUUCCGCGUUGGACCGCACACAAGUCUGUUGGAAUACAGCGGCAUAGUGGUGAAACCCCCGUAUAUGGUGCGGACGCCCAGCGCUUUGUGAUACACUUUCAAUGAGUCGAGUUGUUUGGGAAUGCAGCUCAAAUUGGGUGGUAAAUUCCAUCUAAAGCUAAAUAUUGGCGAGAGACCGAUAGCGAACAAGUACCGUGAGGGAAAGAUGAAAAGCACUUUGGAAAGAGAGUUAACAGUACGUGAAAUUGUUGGAAGGGAAACGCUUGAAGUCAGACUUGCUUGCCGGAGCUUGCUUCGGUUUGCAGGCCAGCAUCAGUUUUCCGGGGUGGAUAAUGACGGUUUGAAGGUAGCAGUCUCGGCUGUGUUAUAGCUUUCCGUUGGAUACAUCCUGGGGGACUGAGGAACGCAGCGUGCUUUUUGCGAAAGACUCGUCUUUUUCACGCUUAGGAUGCUGGUGGAAUGGCUUUAAACGACCCGUCUUGAAACACGGAACAACAAA
rnacentral:rRNA from 1 species